rnacentral:rRNA from 1 species
UCCAGACUCCUACGGGAGGCAGCAGUGGGGAAUAUUGCACAAUGGGGGAAACCCUGAUGCAGCGACGCCGCGUGAGUGAAGAAGUAUUUCGGUAUGUAAAGCUCUAUCAGCAGGGAAGAAAAUGACGGUACCUGACUAAGAAGCCCCGGCUAACUACGUGCCAGCAGCCGCGGUAAUACGUAGGGGGCAAGCGUUAUCCGGAUUUACUGGGUGUAAAGGGAGCGUAGACGGCAGAGCAAGUCUGAAGUGAAAGCCCGCGGCCCAACUGCGGGACUGCUUUGGAAACUGUGUUGCUGGAGUGCUGGAGAGGCAAGCGGAAUUCCUAGUGUAGCGGUGAAAUGCGUAGAUAUUAGGAAGAACACCAGUGGCGAAGGCGGCUUGCUGGACAGUAACUGACGUUGAGGCCCGAAAGCGUGGGGAGCAAACAGGAUUAGAUACCCUGGUA